rnacentral:rRNA from 1 species
GAUGAACGCUGGUGGCGUGCCUAACACAUGCAAGUCGAGCGAUUCUCUUCGGAGAAGAGCGGCGGACGGGUGAGUAACGCGUGGGUAACCUGCCGUGUACACACGGAUAACAUACCGAAAGGUAUGCUAAUACGAGAUAAUAUGCUUUUGUCGCAUGGUAGAAGUGUCAAAGUUUUUGCGGUACAGGAUGGACCCGCGUCUGAUUAGCUAGUUGGUAAGGUAACGGCUUACCAAGGCGGCGAUCAGUGGCCGACCUGAGAGGGUGAUCGGCCACAUUGGAACUGAGACACGGUCCAAACUCCUACGGGAGGCAGCAGUGGGGAAUAUUGCACAAUGGGCGAAAGCCUGAUGCAGCAACGCCGCGUGAGCGAUGAAGGCCUUCGGGUCGUAAAGCUCUGUCCUCAAGGAAGAUAAUGACGGUACUUGAGGAGGAAGCCCCGGCUAACUACGUGCCAGCAGCCGCAGUAAAAC